rnacentral:lncRNA from 1 species
GCCCCGCGGCAAGAUGGCGGUCUGAAGGCAGUGGGCAGCGGCAGAAAGUUUGUUGUGGGAUUGGAUUAGUCGGGCUGGGAGUCUAUACUUGUAGGGGGUCGUGAGGAUGCCAACGGGGAGUUGGGGCGGAGGGAGUAGCUCUGGGGUUGAGAAGAGGAAGUGGAGUGGUGGAAGGUUGGAGGCAGAGAAAAAAAUGAGAUAGGGAUGGAGGGGAGGGGGCCUAGAUUCCAGUGGUAGCCUUGGGGGAGGGGAUUCCAGGCGGGGAGCCUGAAGUAGGUGUGCAGGGAGGGAGAAGCAGCGUCACGAGUUGGAGCCGAACUUCUUAGCCAAGAGUAAAAAGCCCGGAGCGUGGAGUGGAGGCCCUAGCGCAGGCUGGUGGGAGAGGAAAAGGGGUCUUUUCCAUGGAGGAGAAUAGUAGGGAACGGAGGAAGAGAGACCUGAAGCAAAGAGGGAACUAAAGCCAAACAAAUGGCCCUCUUCUAGACUUAGAUCAGCCUUUCCACAGUUCUUAUAGCAGCAUCUGCCCCAAUUUCAGCUGAAGACUCAGGGGCCCCAGGGAUUGGAAGAAAUCACAGUGCCUGCUUGGAAAGAAGAAGAGGUAGCGACUUGCCCCAGCUCAACCCCAGAGCGGCUCCGGAGUUGGGCUGCUCACAGACCAAGCUGUCUGUUUGUAUGGAGUGCCUGGAGGGCGUCUGCCACGAGUCUGGUGCUAACCGUGCUAACCAGGAGAGCUGGCUGGUUGGGGAGAAGACACUAACCCUGUGAGUCUGACCCGGGCCAGCUAACCCACCCUGAAGGUGCCUCCAGCCACGCCUCUCGUCUCCCUUCCUGCCCCUGGCCUCCUCCCCUCUGCUUACACCGAGCCAUCUCCUCUGCGCGCUUGUCCUUACCACUGGGUUCCCUCCGUUUGCCCGGUCUCCUUGCCGUAGGUGGGGCUGUGCACAGGUGCCUGUCCACCUGCCAGCCGGCUGCUGGGCUCUGCCCCCAUUCCUCC